rnacentral:rRNA from 1 species
CCCCUAGAUGUUCUGGGCCGCACACGCGCUACACUGGCAGGUUCAUCGAGCUUCAUGCCCUGAUCUGAGAAGAACGGGAAAUCUUUGAACACCUGCCGUGCUUGGGAUAGAUGUUUGCAAUUAUUCAUCUUCAACGAGGAUUGCCUUGUAAGCGCACGUCAUCAGCGUGCAUUGAAUACGACCCUGUAUUCUGUACACACCGCCCGUCGCUCCUACCGAUUGAAGUUUUCGGUGAAUUUACUGGAGAUCCCUUUUGAAGGUGGUUCGCCACUGGAAGAAGUAUUCAAAAGUAAAUGAAUCGAAUGCUUUAGAGGAAGGAGAAGUCGUAACA